rnacentral:rRNA from 1 species
UACGUAGGGACCAAGCGUUGUUCGGAUUUACUGGGCGUAAAGGGCGCGUAGGCGGCAAUUCAAGUCAUCUGUGAAAUCUCCGGGCUUAACUCGGAACGGUCAGAUGAUACUGCUUUGCUAGAGUGCAGAAGGGGCAAUGGAAUUCUCGGUGUAGCGGUGAAAUGCGUAGAUAUCGAGAGGAACACCAGAGGUGAAGACGGGUUGCUGGGCUGACACUGACGCUGAGGCGCGAAAGCCAGGGGGAGCAAACGGGG